rnacentral:lncRNA from 1 species
CCUGAAUCUAUCAAGGUAGAGGCUUUGUAAUUAUUAGGUCCUAAACGCACAUCUAUUAUAAAACAAGGAGAUGGUUCUGAGGAGAGGAUAGGACCUUCAUUAGAAGUUGUACAAGAUUCCAGCCGCACGGUCCCUAUUGUAGCUGGACGUACUCGUUUUCCGACAUACUGUCUUCUUUGACAGCCGUACUCCUCAUUUUGUAGUUACGUCGCUUCUUUGGACAAUGUUGAGCAGUGUGCUUA